GACGAACGCUGGCGGCGUGCUUAACACAUGCAAGUCGAGCGGAAAGGCCCUUCGGGGUACUCGAGCGGCGAACGGGUGAGUAACACGUGAGUAAUCUGCCCUUCACUCUGGGAUAGCCACCGGAAACGGUGAUUAAUACCGGAUACGACCACCGUGGGCAUCCACUGGUGGUGGAAACUUUUUUGGGUGGGGGAUGUGCUCGCGGCCUAUCAGCUUGUUGGUGGGGUAAUGGCCUACCAAGGCUUCGACGGGUAGUCGGCCUGAGAGGGUGACCGGCCACACUGGGACUGAGGCACGGCCCAGACUCCUACGGGAGGCAGCAGUGGGGAAUAUUGGACAAUGGGCGGAAGCCUAAUCCAGCAACGCCGCGUGAGGGAUGACGGCCUUCGGGUUGUAAACCUCUUUCAGCACCGACGAAGCGCAAGUGACGGUAGGUGCAGAAGAAGGACCGGCCAACUACGUGCCAGCCGCCGCCGUAACAC
rnacentral:rRNA from 1 species